GCCUACGGGGCGCAGCAGUGAGGAAUAUUGGUCAAUGGGAGAGAUCCUGAACCAGCCAAGCCGUGUGAGGGAAGACGGCCCUAUGGGUUGUAAACCUCUUUUGUCGGAGAACAAAACCCGGGACGUGUCCCGGACUGCGUGUAUCCGAAGAAAAAGCAUCGGCUAACUCCGUGCCAGCAGCCGCGGUAAUACGGAGGAUGCGAGCGUUAUCCGGAUUUAUUGGGUUUAAAGGGUGCGUAGGCGGUCUGUUAAGUCAGCGGUAAAAUUGCGGGGCUCAACCCCGUCGAGCCGUUGAAACUGGCAGA
rnacentral:rRNA from 1 species